AAGUAUCCUUCUCUCAGGUGUGGAGACUUUGACAGAAGCAGCAGUGAACUUCGCGGGACAUUCUGAGAGGCGUGCUGACUUUCCAACUCGGCGUGGACUCGCUUGACAAGACGACCGCUGACACUUUUCUUCUUCGCAGCGUCGCUUUUUCUUUUUUUUUUUUUUUUUUGUUUAUCCUCCGUGUUGUGAUUGAAACCCUCCCCGGAGAAGCGGCAGAGAAGUCGGCGAAAACAGUGUUCUUCGAAUGUGGUGCAGGCCGCACUUUGGACCAACCAGGUUGGUUUGAGUGGAUCUUUCCGUGCUGGCAUCUUCUACACAGGCCACCAAUGGACAGGAGGAUAUCUGCUGAGGCGCCACUGAAUUUGGAGAUGGCGCUCUUGAGCCCGGCUAACCUGGUCUUCAUCAGCCCCGUGCUGGUGAUGUGGUCCGCAUGGCAGUGAGUGUUCACUGGAAACACGUCAGCACCAGGUUAGUAGCGUUCUGUUUGAACUGGACUCCAGGAAGAAAAAAAACAUCACAACCGAAGCUGGGUACGGACCUGCUACUUGUAGAUGGAGCCCCAGUUCUUGGAUGAGCUUCAGGUCUCUGUCGAUGGUCUCCAAUACGGGGUCGAUGAGGAUGGCCUCCUUGGUCUCGUUGUCAGCCAGAAGGUAAGUGUAGGUGCUGCUGUCUGAUUCAAACAGCUUCCACACAAGGGUGGGAUUCAUUGUUAUUAAUUCAUUACAAAAGUGUGUCGUGAGUUUAGUGGGGUUUUACGUUUAAAAGUACCGCAGUACGGGUAAAGAUUCCAUCUAAAUAUACCGAAAAUAUUGUCUGAUUACAAGAAAAUUUGAAAGAGUACCGCAGUACCUUUGAAAAAUACCUGUACUUUUUGUCAUACAUAGCAUUGCUAGUAAUAUGAGCCGAGGUGCAUGCGAGUCAACACACACACACAUAGAGCACCUACAUGUGGAAACAGUGUGGUGACAGACGAGAGAAUGGACGUAUUUAGGCUUAACAAAAAAAUUUGAGACCCACAGCUAAUUUCAACGACCCACGGCGCAUUCUAGAAAUACUUCUACAAAGAAAAUUAAAUGGAAUGAAAGAACAAACAGGGGAAAUGUAAUGAAAAAAGUUCCAAUGUUGACUCGAAACCCACAAAGUUUUUUUGUUUUGUUUUUUAAAACUUUCAGUCCUCAAAAAUUUAUAAUGAUAAAAAUAAAUGUAGGCCUAUGCAAUGUAUAACAUAUUAAAUAUCAUUAUAAAUAAUUAUUUCGAUGGUGGUCUGUGCGGUCAAACUAGACAUUUUAGCAGGGUAAUGCCAACAAUCUUUCCCAACUCCCGACGUAAAUAUUGCUGUGUCACUUUACAAAUACAUUUGGCUAAUAGAAAUCAGUAAAAUGUGGCAUAAUUACUUAGUAAACCAUCUUGCAAGAAGCAAACACAAGAGAAAUCUACAGCGUAGGACUUGUCGAUUGCCAGGUGAAGUUCCUUGGAGUAGGAUUCGGGGUCGGCUGCGUAUCUGGCAACCUCAGUCAUGGAAAGUGGGAGGGGACUAGAGAAUUUUGACCUUGAUUGCAGUACCAUUUCUAGCCAUGUUAUAACAUGUGUUAAGUGUUGAAAGUUAAAAAAAAAUGUAUGAUUUAUUUUUAACACUUUUAUAAGUGGUGCGUUUUUGAUCCCCCAAAAAAGUGAAUAGGAUUUUUUUAAUUAUUUAUAAAAUGGUCUAAAUAGGGCGGAAUGGUGGUUAGGGCAUGUGCCUCACAAUACGAAGGUCCUGAGUUCAAUCCCUGGCCCCUUCUGUGUGGCGUUUGCAUGUUCUCCCCAUGACUGUGUGAGUUCCCUUUGGGUACUUCGGCUUCCUCCCACCUCCAAAGACAUGCACAAAGACAUGUUGAUUGGCAACACUAAAUUGGCCCUAGUGUGUGAAUGUGAGUGUGAAUGUUGUCUGUCUAUCUGUGUUGGCCCUGCGAUGAGGUGGUGACUUGUCCAGGGUGUACCCCGCCUUCUGCCUGAUUGUAGCUGAGAUAGGCCCCAGCGCCCCCCGCGACCUCAAAGGGAAUAAGCAGUAGAAAAUGGAUGGAUGGAUAUUCCAAUUUGAAAUAUUUUUGAGGGGAAAUAUUGCAUAUUUUGUGUAUUUUUUGCCUAAACAAAACAUGGUGUUGAUCAAACAAUAAUACUUAAAACAUAAUCUAUUGAUAAAUAAACAGACCUGAAUUCAAU